rnacentral:rRNA from 1 species
UGGGGAAUAUUGGACAAUGGGGGCAACCCUGAUCCAGCCAUGCCGCGUGUGUGAAGAAGGCCUUUUGGUUGUAAAGCACUUUAAGCAGUGAAGAAGACUCCAUGGUUAAUACCCAUGGACGAUGACAUUAGCUGCAGAAUAAGCACCGGCUAACUCUGUGCCAGCAGCCGCGGUAAUACAGAGGGUGCAAGCGUUAAUCGGAAUUACUGGGCGUAAAGCGAGCGUAGGUGGCUUGAUAAGUCAGAUGUGAAAGCCGCGGGCUUAACCUGGGAACGGCAUCUGAUACUGUUAGGCUAGAGUAGGUGAGAGGAAGGUAGAAUUCCAGGUGUAGCGGUGAAAUGCGUAGAGAUCUGGAGGAAUACCGAUGGCGAAGGCAGCCUUCUGGCAUCAUACUGACACUGAGGUUCGAAAGCGUGGGUAGCAAACA